AUGAUGGACUAUAGGACAGGACUGCUGCUGCUCACUGUCUGCUGGGCAGGUGUUGAUGGUCAGACUCUGACAGAAUCUGAACCAGUGACUAAAAGCCCUGGAGAUUCUCAUAGAUUGACCUGUACAGCCUCUGGAUUCACAUUCAGUAGCUACGGGAUGCACUGGGUCAGACAGGCUCCUGGAAAAGGACUGGAGUGGAUCGCUUAUAUCAGUGAAAGCAGUAGCUACAUCUACUACUCUGAGUCAGUGAAAGGCCGCUUCACCAUCUCCAGAGACAACAACAGACAGCAGGUGUAUCUGCAGAUGAGCAGUCUGACGGCUGUAGACUCUGCUGUUUAUUACUGUGCUCGAGAAACACAGUGA